UUUGAGUCAAUGCAAGGAUUGCUGCAUGCCAUAAAGGAUUACUGGAGAACGGAUACUUUGCUACUUUACAAGUGGACCAUAUCUCUGAACUAUUGGAAGACUACACAUAUUAACCUUAAGAAUAUCUUUCAGCUAUUUGUCUACAAUAUCAUUUAAUAAUGAACUAAUGCUUGCUUACUCAAAUCUUCACUGCUUCAAGCUA